AACUGCAACACCCAGUCAAAUGUGGUGCUAGUCCGCCUGUCCUGUUGGUCAGCUACCGAACGAGUGAAUCCACAGGAGCAAGAGACAGGUACAGGGGCACAGCUGCUCUGGAAGAUUAAUGGUCCUGCCAGAUGUAGGGACUCUGAAAAGGGUGACCAUCCCAUGUUGCUCCUCAUAACGGAGGAAAAGGACAAAGCAGCCGUCAUAGGGCCAUGGGACAGACACAGCAGGGGUGUCGAUUCGUCACUGCAUGCAGAGUAUAAGAUUACAUGACAGCAAUGUGCAGAAACUGCCAGAGACGACAAGCUGAAGUGAUGGAGACGGACUAGAAUUGGCGAUGAUGGCGCCAGGUCUCGGGCCCAAGGUUGGAGGACGAGGGAGUGAGAUAGACGGCCGUCCCCAGGGCAGGGUGAGGGUCUGCUGGGCAGCUGUCCGGUAAUUAGUCCCCUCCCUAGUGCUUGCCCUCUGGCAUCUGUCGGAGCAGCGGCUAACAGUGCACGUGGCCCUCCUCCAGCUCUCAGGACGCAGUUCAGUUAAAACCAUUAGGCUUCAUUUAAUCACAUUCACCUGCAGUUAAACACACACCUGGUCAAGUUGUGUGACAGAUGUGAUGAUGUAUGUUGAUAUAAACACAAAUAGAUAUAAUAAAUGCAAAUGUGCUUGUA